rnacentral:lncRNA from 1 species
AAAAAUCACACUUAUUAAGAAAAUGUAAAACAUGAGAAUUUGAAGUAUGUUUUUGUGGGUUUUUCUUGGAAUAACUUGCAUAGGAAGAUGUAAAAACAAUUUUUAUUGGUUGUUGUUUAUUGAGAAAAUGAGAAAGAGAAGAAAUUAAAUGCAAUUUGCAUUUAAUUUUAUGAAAAUAAGAAAAAAACAUUCUUGAAAAUGAU